GUUGAAUGGGAAUAAAAAUUAUAUGCAAAUUGAAACCGGAAUGUUGAUUUAACGCAUUUUCGGAAACUACAAAGGACGCGAUUGGCGGGGAAAUUGUUACGUUUCCCGCCAGAAUCCUCGCCAAGUUUGGGCCGAAUGAGGGCUGAGCUGGCGGGGAUUUUUUA
rnacentral:sRNA from 1 species